rnacentral:rRNA from 1 species
CUCGUAGGCGGCCAACUAAGUCAGACGUGAAAUCCCUCGGCUUAACCGGGGAACUGCGUCUGAUACUGGAUGGCUGGAGGUUGGGAGAGGGAUGCGGAAUUCCAGGUGUAGCGGUGAAAUGCGUAGAUAUCUGGAGGAACACCGGUGGCGAAGGCGGCAUCCUGGACCAAUUCUGACGCUGAGGAGCGAAAGCCAGGGAGCAAACG